GCGCCCGUAGCUCAGUGGAUAGAGCGUUGGCCUCCGGAGCCAAAGGUCGUGGGUUCAAGUCCCUCCGGGCGCGCCA
rnacentral:tRNA from 1 species